CGUAGGUGGCAAGCGUUAUCCGGAAUUAUUGGGGCGUAAAGCGCGCGUAGGCGGUUUCUUAAGUCUGAUGUGAAAGUCCACGGCUCAACCGUGGAAGGUCAUUGGAAACUGGGGAACUUGAGUGCAGAAGAGGAGAGUGGAAUUCCAUGUGUAGCGGUGAAAUGCGCAGAGAUAUGGAGGAACACCAGUGGCGAAGGCGGCUCUCUGGUCUGUAACUGACGCUGAUGUGCGAAAGCGUGGGGAUCAAACAGGAUU
rnacentral:rRNA from 1 species